rnacentral:rRNA from 1 species
CACGUAGGGCGCAAGCGUUGUCCGGAAUUAUUGGGCGUAAAGAGCUCGUAGGCGGUCUGUUGCGUCCGCUGUGAAAACUCGGGGCUUAACCCCGAGCCUGCAGUGGAUACGGGCAGACUAGAGGUAGGUAGGGGAGAAUGGAAUUCCCGGUGUAGCGGUGAAAUGCGCAGAUAUCGGGAGGAACACCGGUGGCGAAGGCGGCCUUCUGGACAGCAACUGACGCUGAGACGCGAAAGCGUGGGGAGCAAACAGG